CAACUCGCCUGCAUGAAGUCGGAAUUGCUAGUAAUCGUAGGUCAGCAUACUACGGUGAAUACGUUCCCGGGCCUUGUACACACCGCCCGUCACACCAUGAGAGUUGGGAAUACCCGAAGCCUGUGAGCCAACAAACGAGGCAGCAGUCGAAGGUAGAAUCAAUGAUUGGGGUGAAGUCGUAACAAGGUAGC
rnacentral:rRNA from 1 species